rnacentral:tRNA from 2 species
GCGCCCGUGGUGAAGUGGAUAUCACGUUACCCUCCGGAGGUAAAAUCCCGAGUUCGAGUCUCGGCGGGCGCA